AGUUAAUUGGCAUGAAGAUUAUAAGGUAUUGCAAAUGGAUAACAGCGUAUCUGGAAUGAGUCAUUUUUUUUAACCUUACUGGCACACGCCUUUACUUCCAGUAAGAGAAGCUCGAGCUGUACGCCCGCCCCUUCGCCUUCCCCCUCUGCUUAUAAAAUGAAAUUACAUCGACGCCAGUGGCUCUGGAGCUGCCCAACAAGGAGUUAACACCUCAGAUGGAGAGACCUGGUGGAGAGAGGAGUGGGAGGAGAAGGAAAAGGAGGGUGUGAAGUAGAAAAGGAGUGGCUGGCAGCAGGCGCAAAGGAGGGUGUCACCGGCGGAGGAGAGGAGCAAACACGAAGGGCUUGAUCUCUGAAAUCUCUGAGUCAUCGUACAGAAUGGGAUCCAGAGAGCUGGUGUUGCCACAACGGCAGCUGGCUGCUGAGCCGACAGAGAGAGGGCAUUUUCACUUUGGGAGAGAGAGAAUUUGAAACAGCUCUAACCUUUCUUCAACAAUGCAGCCACUUUACGCUGUGGAAUUCCUAAAUCAGCGAGAGCCGUUCCGAGGCACCUGUUCUCGUCAUUGCAUCGGUCCUCUGAGAAAGUCUAUAACUCAGGAGAAAAGGAACACCGCGAGGCAUCAGCAACUUGUAGACAAGGAGGAGAUUUCUAAAACAAACUGCUGGCAUAACAGCUGUUACACACACACACACACACACACACACACACACACACACACACACACACACACACACACACACACACACAAUCAUUUAUUACAAGCAUCCGACUGUUGGACAUCACCAAACUGUUAUGUUACAUCAAGGUGUGUGUAGGCCAAAGUGUGUGUGUCUAUGUGUUAACUUUGUCUCUAUGACGAUGAUGUCAUGUUAGCUGUCCACCUGAUCAAUAGUGAAACGCCAUGACCCAUAGAUCACCCCCCACAUCCCCCAUGGCUCCACCACAGCAUGAACGAAGGAAAUUCAAAUCCUGGUCAGGUCAUACCAAAGACCUUCACAAUGGGACCCAAUGCCUUCCUGCUUGACACUCAGCUGUAAGGGGUUGGAUUGGGGGCUUAAACCACAAAAUAGUUCCCGAGCGCAGCCAUAGCUGCAGCUCAUCGCUCCCCACAGGGGUGGGUCAAAUGUGCAGAUGAACUUCAACAGUGUGUGAUGAAUUAAUGGGAACAUGCUGUCUUUGUCCAAUAGACUAAUGAGGGGGCACACAUUAUUAUUAUUAUUAUCAUUAUUUGGGCUAUUUAUGAGAGUAAUU